CGAACAGCCAUGCUGUCGACCGGCCGAGCACAAACCUCGGCACAAACAAACAUUCUAAAUUUUAAAACAAUCUAUUUUUCUGGAUUUCUGGUGUGCGUAUCCCUCCUAAUUUAUUGCGAAUGGGAAGUCUAUAACUGUAACGCCAUACCACUAUAUUUCAUUCUACAAAAUUGUAAUCAAGUAAAUGUCGUAAAACGAAGACUCAAAAUAGUAUGACAGAACUACAAACUGUGUGAGUGUCCGUAUGCAUAUACACAUAUAUUAAUAAAAGCUUUAAAAACAUUACCUCAUGUUAAUAUUAUUAGUUGACC